AUUGAACGCUGGCGGCAGGCCUAACACAUGCAAGUCGAACGAUUGUCUGACUGGUGAGUAAUGUCUUGGAAACUGCCCGAUGGAGCGGGAUAACUACUUGACACGGUCGCUAAUACCGCAUACCAUCGGAUGUGCCCAGAUGGGAUUAGCUCGUAGGUGGGGUAACGGCUCACCUAGGCGACGAUCCCUAGCUGGUCUGAGAGGAUGACCAGCAACAUGGGAACGAAGACAAGGUCCAGACUCCUACGGGAGGCGGCAGUGGGGAAUUUUGGACAAGGGGGGAAACCCUGAUCAAGCCAUCCCGCGUAGGCGAUGAAGGCCUUCGGGUUGUAAAGCACGUUGGGCAGGAAAGCGGUACCUGCAGAAUAAGCACCGGCUAACUACGUGCCAGCAGCCGCGGUAAUAC
rnacentral:rRNA from 1 species